UACAGAGGUCCCAAGCGUUGUUCGGAUUCAUUGGGCGUAAAGGGUGCGUAGGUGGCGUGGUAAGUCGGGUGUGAAAUUUCGGAGCUUAACUUCGAAACUGCAUUCGAUACUGCCGUGCUUGAGGACUGGAGAGGAGACUGGAAUUUACGGUGUAGCAGUGAAAUGCGUAGAGAUCGUAAGGAAGACCAGUGGCGAAGGCGGGUCUCUGGACAGUUCCUGACACUGAGGCACGAAGGCUAGGGGAGCAAACGGG
rnacentral:rRNA from 1 species